rnacentral:rRNA from 1 species
UACAGAGGUCCCAAGCGUUGUUCGGAUUCAUUGGGCGUAAAGGGUGCGUAGGCGGCGCGGUAAGUCGGGUGUGAAAUCUCGGGGCUUAACCCCGAAACUGCAUUCGAUACUGCCGUGCUUGAGGACUGGAGAGGAGACUGGAAUUUACGGUGUAGCGGUGAAAUGCGUAGAUAUCGUAAGGAAGACCAGUGGCGAAGGCGGGUCUCUGGGACGGUACUGACGCUGAGGCGCGAAAGCGUGGGGAGCAAACAGG